GACGAACGCUGGCGGCGCGCCUAAAACAUGCAAGUCGAACGAGAAGCCCGGGCUUGCCCGGGUGGACAGUGGCGAACGGGUGAGUAACACGUGAGGAACCUGCCCCGAAGACCGGGACAACACCGGGGAACCGGUGCUAAUACCGGAUGCCUUCACCGGAUCGCAUGGUCUGGUGAAGAAAUGGAUUCCGCUUCGGGAUGGCCUCGCGGCCUAUCAGCUUGUUGGUGAGGUAACGGCUCACCAAGGCAACGACGGGUAGCUGGUCUGAGAGGAUGUCCAGCCACACUGGGACUGAGACACGGCCCAGACUCCUACGGGAGGCAGCAGUUAGGAAUCUUGCGCAAUGGACGAAAGUCUGACGCAGCGACGCCGCGUGCGGGAUGAAGGCCCUCGGGUUGUAAACCGCUUUCAGCAGGGACGAAAUUGACGGUACCUGCAGAAGAAGCCCCGGCCAACUACGUGCCAGCAGCCGCCGUAAAAC
rnacentral:rRNA from 1 species